UGUGAUGUAGAAUCCGGGGUAAAGUAGAAUAAAUCUGGAAAGAAAAUCGAUAAUAUAAUUUUUUUCGGAUAGAAAAUGUACAAACUCCAUAUAAUACUUCAAUAAGAUCGAAAAAAUAACUCACCACCCAAUUUAAAAUCACAAAGGGAUAUAGAAAGUUCACCACUCUGAGGAAAUUAAACAACGAUACAGAACUGAAAAUAAAAGACUCGCCACUCAAGGAAACAUCCAAGAGAUACAGAGUUUAAACGAGAACUCCAAGAGAGCUUCUGCAAAA
rnacentral:lncRNA from 1 species